AUUGAACGCUGGCGGCAGGCCUAACACAUGCAAGUCGAGCGGCAUCAGGGGGUAGCUUAGGCUACGUUGCUGGCGAGCGGCGGACGGGUGAGUAAAGUCUGGGUAUCUGCCUGAGGGAGGGGGAUAACUACUGGAAACGGUAGCUAAUACCGCAUGAAGUCGAAUGACUAAAGUGAGGGACCUACGGGCCUCACGCCCUGAGAGGAGCCCAGAUGGGAUUAGCUAGUAGGUGGGGUAAAUGCUCACCUAGGCGACGAUCCCUAGCUGGUCUGAGAGG
rnacentral:rRNA from 1 species